rnacentral:rRNA from 1 species
UGGGGAAUAUUGCACAAUGGGCGCAAGCCUGAUGCAGCCAUGCCGCGUGUAUGAAGAAGGCCUUCGGGUUGUAAAGUACUUUCAGCGGGGAGGAAGGGAGUAAAGUUAAUACCUUUGCUCAUUGACGUUACCCGCAGAAGAAGCACCGGCUAACUCCGUGCCAGCAGCCGCGGUAAUACGGAGGGUGCAAGCGUUAAUCGGAAUUACUGGGCGUAAAGCGCACGCAGGCGGUUGAUUGAGUCAGAUGUGAAAUCCCCGGGCUUAACCCGGGAAUUGCAUCUGAUACUGGUCAGCUAGAGUCUUGUAGAGGGGGGUAGAAUUCCAGGUGUAGCGGUGAAAUGCGUAGAGAUGUGGAGGAAUACCGGUGGCGAAGGCGGCCCCCUGGACAAAGACUGACGCUCAGGUGCGAAAGCGUGGGGAGCAAACAGG